rnacentral:lncRNA from 1 species
UUUAUUUUAAUAAAACAUUAGGCGAUAUUAGCUCCUUGGAGUAUAAGGGUAGAGGAUACAGAGCGUUCAUCCACAAACCCGAAGGUGGUCCUACAACUAGACUGUGACCGCAUCCAUGAAUUCUGAAUCAUUUCCCAUAGCCUCCAAAGUCUCAGCCAAAAGACAAACUUCAAUAUCAAUGCUACCUUCUUCAACCGCAGAAAACACUGUGAUUUUCCCAUGUGACUUAUUCCCAGCACCACUUCUCACCCCAACUGGCCUUCCCCAACCAAAAUCAUUUCCAUACACGUCAAACCGCGGUGAACUGCUUGUGACCAAAGCGUUAGCAGCCAUGUUUCCUUCUGUCAGCAACUUAGGCUCUUGUACCCAACACUCCAAGAAUUUUCUCAGUUUCUCUUCUGUGUGCAAAGCCACCAUCUUGUUCAUUUCCCAAGCCACAAAACCAAGCCCGCGCUUGAUAACCUCCCUUGCUUUGAUGGUCACAGUCCCUGCUUGAACUGCAUUGCCAAAGUAUUGUUGUGACAAUGGUGGGUUCAUUCUUGACCUAGCACCUAUGAGUAAUCGAUAACUACUUUCUUUAUCAGGAUCAAGAUCUCCAUUACUACCACGGAUUAUAGACCGCCACAGAUGAACUAACACUGCUUGUAAAGAAGAGAUUUUUCUUUUAGUAUUUUCAAGUUGAAUCUCAGCAUUGGCUUUUGCUUUCAGUUGAGCAAUUUUUUCCUUUGAGAAGUGAAAGACUCUUUCUUUUAGUAAUGGUACUCGGAUAUUUCCGAUGUAUUUAUCGGAGACUUGAUCCUCAAUUUUUGAGAAUGGAAUUCGAAUGGGACUAAUAGUACCAUCGAGAAGCCAACGCUUAAGAACAGGUGGUUUUGAGACAAAAUCAAAACCCCGAGAAAUUUCGGACCAAGAGUUAAAGAAGUGCCAAAAGGAAGUGCCAUCAACAACUGUGUGGUUGACGGUGCAGCCUAUGAAAAUACCAUCCCCAAGCUCAGUUACUUGCACUGCAAGCAGCGGCUUAGAGGUUCCCUCGUAGUUUUUAGCACCAUUUAGAGGAAAAAAAGAGUGGACAACAUCACGAGGAACAUAGCCAGAUUCAUUUAUGUCGGAGACGGUAACACCGUAGGCUUUGGCAUGGACAAACAGGGCCCCUGCAUUAUUACAAUUGAUGAAAAAGGAGGUGGUGUUAUCGUCGUGGUGAAUAGUGGCAAGGCGACCGGAAAGUGGAGGAAAGAAGUCAAGUGUUCGAGAAAGGGAGACUUUCAGAUGUUGAAUAUGUUGUGAUAAGGUUUUCGGGUUGUGAAAGAGGAGUCCCUUUUGGAUGGGAUCAACAAGAAGGAGUUGGAGAUCCCACGGAGUUAACUCAACUCUUGGAGUUGAGCAAUACUCAUUAACAUUAUGGCUCGCGGCUUGCACUGUACUUGUUGAGAUGACCUUGGCGCCUCCCAUGGCUUUUCCUAAUGUCUUGAAAACUUGCUAUCUUUUUGUUUUUUGGGACAUGCUCAAUCCUCAGGUUGGAGAGGUCGGCAUAUAUUUAUAUACUAGGCUUCGCUGCGAGGUUAGAUCUUUAAGUUGAGGUUUUAUUAUAAAAUCAAUUGGUAAUAUUGGAAAUAAUUUAACUUUUUAUAAUUUUUGACAAGGUUUGUUGCAUCACCUAUGUGAAACUUUGUCUUUCACAUUCUCACACGACCUAUCACAUGUGACGAAUUAUGAGUGGAAGUCCCCACUCAUUUUUUUGGUGGGAAAAAAUGUGCAUGUUGCAUAUAGCAAUCCCACGGGUUAGCCAUGACAAUCAUAAAAAUAAUCAAAACUUCAAUUUUGAUUCAAAAUAUCCCACAUGUCCUAACCCAAAUCACGACAAAACUCAACCCCACCACAAAGCAAAUCCUGUCGUCCUCGUAUUGUCCUCCUCCCCUUUCAACCAAACUCAUAUAAAUCGAGGGUUUCAGAAACACAUUGUGUGGAGCAAAACAUAAUUCAAAAAAUUAUGGUGGUGAUAUGUGAACUUUUGAAUAUUCUCGAGGCACAUCAGGAUUCUCACGCGCAAGUAACAGACAAUAAUGGCUGAAUUGAGGAAGAGUUAAAGGUGAUCAAUAUGAUAUUUAUUCAAAUCCAUCUUAUCACUCCCCAUCAAUCCUUUAUUGAUUUUAUUCAAAAUGUAACUCCCAAAACUUCCUAUUUAAUUUAGAAAUAAUUGGCAUGUUAAUUGUAAGAUAUUAUUUCACAUAAUAUCUUGAAAUUAUUCUCCAAAUACCACCAUAUAAGGCCGGCCAUUCUCCACCUUAAGGGUCAGCCACCCUCCUAAAAAGACCCCUCUUAUUCCAUUAAAAUAGUAAACCAUUUUGCUACCCACAAACUCCAAAAUAUAUUCUUUUAUGAACUCUAACUUUGGCAUCGGAGAUUCUUCGGCCAAACCGCCUCAUUCAUCGUGGGCACGUGAGCUUUUUGGCAUUAAUCUUAGUGUUAUUAUUUUGCAGGUGCAUUUUCGUCAAAGGAAGAGAUGGCGGAAAUUUGCAUCCAUAAAUUGGUGCUUUCAUUGAGAGUUUGAUUCACACGCUCGAAGAAGACUCCCACAUUCAAAGUUUCUCAUUUCUCAUUCGUUCGUAAAUUUUUCGUACGUUCUUAUUCCUAUAAUUUUUUAAUUAUUUGAAUAGACGAAGAGAAAAUACAAUGGUGGGAAAUUUGGCAACCACUACGAAUGGAACUUUCUACAUUCAAGGAUUUGGAUAAAAUGGAGCUCGAGAUGUAGCCCCACCACGACAAUCUACGAGGCUCAACGCGAUAGCAAGAAGAGCAACUUUGCCACCACGGAGCACCACCACCAUGGCAACCAUAAGGAUCACCAUGGCAGUGGGGAGUGGACUAGCUUCAUGGCAGCAAGCCCACGGUGAGCAGGGAGCAACGAGGCAGUCACAUGCCCAAGCCCACGCCACUUUGCAGCAGUAGGCCCAUACGCUAGAGGCAGCCCAAACCAUCUAAGCCCAAAAAGUUGUGGAAGAUGGAGUAGCCCAGCACUCGCGGGGCCAAGGCCAGUGUGAGCCCAUCGUGUUCCAAAAUUGAGCCCAAGCUCAAGGCCCACUCACACCGCAUGCGAGGCAGCCCAUGCACAUGGCCCAACCCACUCCCAUGGCCCAUUUAGCAGUCCAAACCAGUCUAAGACUGGUUCAAUCGUCCUAGCUUCAUAUUUCUGGACUGACGAUUGAAUCGGGGGUAUUUUCACCCUCUUUUUCCGCAGAUUUGAUAUAUCCCAACUCAAUCUCGCACUCGAAGUCCAUUACACUUCCACUACUUAAGGAGACGCAUACCGUCCAAGCUCUUCCAGUCUAAAUGGCGAACAACACUUGUCCCAACAAGUCAUAGAGUUGACAAGCGCUCUCGCGCAGUAGAUGACCUUGGUGAACCAGCUUUUGCAAUGCACCAAUAUGCAACGUGCCCUAGACAAGGUGUCCUGAAGCAGGACAAGGAUAAACGACGACCUCUCCAGCAGCAUCCCCACAAGUAGCCUCUCGACCAGCCAUGAAUCGAGCGUUCUGACAAUGAACACUCCCGACUGGGCCCCCAAAUAGCGUAUACUCUUAUCUUAGUGCGUGGAGGAACGUGCACUCCCAAUUAAGCUCACGGACAAGCAUACAUUGACAAUUGAGGCCACUAUCUGAUAAUCAACAUAGACAACUUUCCACACGAAGUGUUCAUUCGCGUCUAAGCUCACAAGGAGCAUCAAUCACCUAACAUCGAAGUAGGUAGCACAAUGGACGGAGAGAAACAGUCACUUAAUUCAGCUUAAGUUUAACCGGCAGCUUGCGAGUAACCCGUUCACCUUCCAGGAACGUACCAUAUGUACCACAACUACGGCAUAGACUAACUGAGCAUAGGAAAAAACAGCUUAGACCAACAGGUCACGACCGGAGGUAGUUGAAAUUUUUGCUGCCCUAGUAGAGGCAAAUUCAGGAAGAAGUUGAGAGGUUCUUAACCGUAUGAUUAAGCAAUUUCCAACAUAACGAAGCUACUGAUGAGGCGCUUCGACGAGGCAUGACUAAUAUAAGCAUGUCACAUUUCAUUGACAAAAUCAAGCAGACGGAACCAUCCCACAUACAUUGGCGGAUACUGUUUCGACAAAUGUAAUAGCUUAGCCUAAUGGCACACUGAGGGUAUACGGGUACCAAAAUGUCACACCAACCCAAGCACAUCACCAGUAGCUGAGCACCGCGGACCUAGUGGUUCACUUUCUCCUAUUGCGUACAACCUUGCCUAAGUCGGCCUUAGCUCUGCACUCACAGUCAUGUCUACUGGCCUUAUAACUCCUUGCCACCCUCGAUCUGUCACCAUGGUUUUCCAACCGUGCUGAUCUUACACCACGGCCCCCAGUUAUGCCAUCUUGAAGCUCUUAACUGCGCCAACUAAGCCUAAGACACUUCAAACUUAAAAGCAUUUAACGAUGGAGUAGAAUACGAGGCUUUACUAGCAGCCCCUUUCAGCGAAAAACUUAGCGGUGAAAAAGCUUGCAAUCCAUUCAGAUUCUCAACUGACCAUCAAUCAAGCCUGAAAAGAACAUACGAUAAACAUCUAAGAAUGACGUAAUACUUGGAGAAGGUCAGGGAGUAGCUCAAGUUUGAAGUCUUAAGUAGAUCGCCGAACAAGACCUCACAUGCUGGGGAUUAUUUCAGUUGUUUAGCAGUCCAGCUUUCCUCAACUGCGCUUAUGACAACGACUUCCAUGCUCUUUAGUGCAAGAGGGUAAACCAAUCCCCCAUCACCCAUCUAGGUAGCCUCUCCAAUGUGAGAGGGUAAAGGUAAACCAAUCCCUCGACACCCAUCUGGGUAAGCUUUCCAAUGCGAUAGGGUAAACUAAUUGCUUUUUAGUGCGAAAGGUAAAUCAAUCCCCUGACACCCAUUUGGGUAAGCUCUCCAAUGCAAGAGGGUAAACUAAUUACUCUCAUGUGCGAAAGGGUAAACUAAUUCCCCGACACCAAUCUAGGUAAACUCUCCAAUACGAGAGAGUAAACUAAUUGCUCUCUAGUGCGAAAGGGUAAACUAAUUCCCCGACACCUAUAUGGAUAAGCUCUUUGGUGAGAUAGGGUAAACUAAUUGCUCUCUAGUGCAAGAGGGUAAGCUAAUUCCCCAACACCUAUUUGGGUAAACUGGAGAUUAGAGGAUAAACCAAUUCCCCGACACUCAUCUGGGUUUGCUCUCUAGUGCGAAAGGAUAAACCAAUUCCCCACAACCAUCUGGGUCUGCUAUUCAAUUUGAGAGGAUAAACUAAUUCUCCAACACUCAUCUGGGUCUAUUCUUCAACGAAAAGGGGCAAACUGCCCAUGAAUUUCCACACAACUACUCAUUUUGAUGUGAUUAGUUAACGAUUUUCAUAUUCCAUAUAUCUUUAUCAUGUUGUGAUGUAGGCCAAACAACUCAAAGGAUUGAAUACUUGAAGACCCGCUAAGCAGCAAAUGGUCAAGGGGCAGUAGUCGACGACGAACUCAACAGCUCGACACCCAAGAAGCAAAAACUCACAGCCCUAGUGACUCCGUAGGAUGAUCAACUUUUUUUUAAACAACGUGCUCAAUUGACGAUUUUAUGGCUAAAAGUUUUGCAAGGCGCUUCAAGCAAGCAAAGUUUCAAGAAAAAAUGAAGAUGGAGCAAAGCGAAGAAAACAAUUUAUUAAAUUUCUAGCAAAUUGAUAAACUUUUGCGAAGGUCACCAAAAUUCGACACAAGCUAAAUAGAAUAAACUACUCAUUUAGUAGCUUGGAUGACCUAGGGCUUUCUAACAACCAUCUUGCCCUCAGCAACCACUUCGUACUUAGUAGUUUGCUUAUCCGACACUUCAUCUUCAGCAACUUCGAUCUUGGCAGCUUCGUCAUUGAUUGCUCCAUAUACGACAGUUAAGAAAUCAAACUCAAGCAGUUUUCUUCUUCUUGGCAAGCAACACAGAUGCUGCAACCCAAACUGUGGCCAAUGCCACGCCACUUCCACAGCCCAUGUCGAGCUAGCCCUUGGCUUCAGCCAAGCCGAGCUGCCCAAGUCGUGGCCCCUACCACACCACAUAAUCGGCCCAUACCAAGCUAACUUCUGGCCCCUAUUAGCCAACGUGCCGCACCACCCCGACGGUUUCCCCGCGGCAGCACCACCCAAGAAAAAAACAAGGAAAAUUAAAUAUUUCUUACCUUGGUGCAGCGUGGAGAAGACAAAGAAAUCAACGGAAUACGGUUCUUUGCACAGGCAAGCGAAGAAGAAUGCUAGGGGAGGGGGAACAAAUAUCUUUUAGCUUUCUCUCUUUCUUGUAGGGAUAAAUAAUUGCCAUCCAAAGUUGAUUUAAUCCCUUACUUAAGGUAGGCUUAAAUAGGCUUUAGUGGUGAUUUACUUCCCUUUCCUAGAAGAAUCUAAUUCCAAGUCAAAGUGGGAAUCUGCAUUAAAGUUAGAGAUCUUUACACCUAAUGCCCUUUCUUGCGAUCAGCCCAGUAGGUGUGGGGGCAUUUGUGAGCCAAAAAUAAUAAAAAAAAUAAGGAGGUGACACGUGGACUUUUGGGUUAGAAGGACAAAAUUACCCUCGAGACACACUAAAUUCCCAUGCACAUGCAACGAACAAUAACGGCUCAAUCAAGGAAAAGUCAAAGGUGAUUAAUAUGGUAUUUAUUCAAAUCUCUCUCAUCACUCCUCAUCAAUCCCUUAUUGAUAUGAUUCAAAAUGUAACUCCCAAAACUUCCUAUUUAAUUUAGGAAUAAUUGUCAUGUUAAUUACAAGAUAUUAUUUCACAUAAUAUCUUGCAAUUAUUCUCCAAAUACCACCAUAUACGGCUUUCCAUUCUCCUAAACCAUGCCAUUCUCCACCCUCCUAUAAAUACCCCUCUUAUCCCACUAAAAUAUUAAGCCAUUUUGCUACGCACAAACUCCAAAAUAUAUUCUUUUUUGAAUUCUAACUUUGGCAUCGGAGAUUUUUCGGCCAAACUCCCACACUCAUCGUGGGCGCGUAAGGUUUUUGGCCUUAAUCUUAGGUGUUAUUAUUUUGCAGGUGCAUUUUCGUCAAAUGAAGAGAUGGUGGAAAUUUGCAUCCACACGUUGGGGUUCAACUAACCAAGUAUCAGAAUUUGACUGAAAAACUUCACCUAACAAGGUGCUUUAUAUGUAAUGAGGAUCUUCUCCAGAUCCUCUUUGUCAGGAUCUUGGGUAUCCUCUAAUUGUGUUCAUUCAUCGUAUAUUGUGCGGUCAGAAAUUAUUUUAAAUUUUUUAUUUAAAAUUGAAAACAAAUAGUACCUAAUGAAAAAUGACCGCACGAUUUACGAUGACCGGAUACGAUUAAAGGAUCCUCUGGAUCCUCACAAAGAGGAUUCAGAGAGGAUCCUCAUUCCUUUAUAUGGGUUUACUUCACUCCACAUGUGGAUGUGUGGUCUAGCAUUGAGAUUGGAUAUCUUGCAAAAAAAUGGUUUAGUGUAAAAAAGAUAAGGUGUAUCCACUAGUUUACUUGCUUGUGACAUUGAUAUUAAGUUAUUAACUCUUCGAAUUGAUAUUGCCAAGGUUGAAAGAGCUUUUUCAGCCACGAAAUUUCUGAAUAAUCGAUUGAGAAAUCGAAUGGGAGAACAAUGGAUAAAUGAUAACAUAGUUAUUUAAUAGAUAGAGAAUAUUUGAUGGUAUUGGCAAUGAAGUUGUCAUGCAACACUUCCUAAACAUGAAAACGCGUCAAUAGAUAUUGUAAUAUGUUGUAUGCAAAACUACAUAGAUUAAUAGAUAAUUGUUUUAUUCAUUAAAUUCUUAAGCUUUUUCAUUUGUGACUUUGUUGUUUAAGGAUACCCCUAUAUAUAGAUUUUUAGUUUUGUCCCUGCGUGGACAACAUAAAUUUAAUCACAUGGAGCAUGCAUCGGACUUUAUACAUAUGCCAACAUAUGUUCUAAUAGCACGAAAAAAAGUCAAAUUCUACCAUAAAUCAAACUAAAUUAUUAUUUUUAAGAUGGACAGAAUUUGGAUAGAAAUGAAAUUGUUACAAGACGUGGUGAUGUAGUUCAAAAAUUGGGUUUAUUUGAGAUGGGAUACAAUCGAAAUUAAUUUACAACUCUAUUACGUGGAAUAAGUUAACUCCUACUCAUUUAAUCCGAUUUGGCACCCCAAAUUAGAGCCGAUCAAGACGAAUAAGGUUCCUCUUCGGAUUCUUUUUGUGAGAAUCUCGGAAAUUCUUAAAUCGUAUCUAUUAUCAUAUAUCGUGCGAUUAGUUUUCGUUAGAUAUUGUUCAUGUUUAAUUUUAAAUAAAAAUAUGUAAAAUAAUUUCCGACUUUACGAUAUACAAUGAAUAAACACGAUUUAAAAACCCUCAUAAUUCUCAUAGAGAUUAUCCUCAGUUGAUCAAGACAACACCUUCUCCUGCGAUAUGAGCCACAUGUAUUUCAAAACAUCGGUACUGUAAGCGUUGUCGAUUCUAAAAACAUCCGUGUUCUUCUUCGGAUUUUUUUUGUAAGGAUCUCGAAAAUUCUUAAAUUGUGUCUAUUAUCGUAUAUCGUGCGAUUAGUUUUCGUUAGAUAUUAUUCAUGUUUAAUUUUAAAUAAAAAUAUGUAAAAUAAUUUAUAAUUUUACGAUAUACGAUAAAUAAACACGAUUUGAAAACUCAUAUAAUUCUCACAAGAAGUAUCCUCAGUUGAUCAAGACAGCACCUUCUCCUGCGAUAUGAGCCACAUGUAUCUCAAAACAUUGGUACCGUAAGCGUUGUCGAUUAUAACAUUUAAAUCAGUACCGUAAGCGUUGUCGAUUCUAACAUGAUCUUUAUGUCAGGAAGUCAAACAAAAACCCCAUGACUGGUUAUAUGCGUGUUUCUCAUUGGAUUGUCCACUAGUUUUUCUCUUCCACACGAUUGAAUUGUCUACUAGUUUCUCUCUUCCACACGAUUCACUAUUUUCUCUCCUCCACACGAUUCACUAUUUUCUCUCCUCCACACGAUUCACUAUGUUCUGUUUCUUGGAUUGUCUACUAGUUUCUCUCUUCCACACGAUUCACUUUGUCCUGAAACCAAUAUGACGUGACGUGACGUGACGUGACUUUGAUAAUUAGAAGAAGAAAAUAUUGGGAAACCAUCUUUUAGACCAUAUUUAUAAUAUUCGCACAUCCUAUUUUACUUCUCACACACUUCUUGAUCAUUUCUGUCCAUUGAUCUUCUUCAAUUCAUCUGAUCCGACGGUCGAAAUUUAAAAAGGUGUAUGAGAAGUAAAAUAGAAUGUGUGGAUAUCACAUCCCUAUUUAUAAAUGUUUUUGGACCCAAUGUUAGCUUUGUAUGAACGAGGUCAUUGUAUUAACGAAGUUCUGGGUCGUUGGAUGAGUAAAGUAUUAAGGUGAUUUUCAAUUAUUUUUAUUAUAAUAGUUGUAAUCACCAUAAUAAUUAUCUUUCGAAAAAUUGGAAUCAUCUUGAUAUUUUUUUGAUAAUUACUUGGGCAAGAUGUUUGAAUACAAGAACGCCUGAUAUAGGAUAUUGGUAUAAUCCAAAUUGAGUUGUGAUUGGUUGGAAUUUGUACGUGGUCUCCAGAUAACAUGAGAUAAUGAUAGUAUAAGAGAUGAACAUCUUUGGCUGGUCAAAAUGAAUUAUAAAAGUGGAAUUAGCAUGCAGAGAUUGGUGAUGUGAUCAGAUUGGAUUUUGUGAUAAUGCAUGCAUUGCAAUUAGACGGAAAAGAAAACAUAUGAUGAUGCCAAGUGAGGUGGUAUUGCAAUUUGCUGUUGAAAUACAUUGCCGCAUCUGGACAAGAAAGUUGGAGAAGGGAAUCUUUUGAUUAGGUAGCAUCACUUAAGCACUAUCAUGUGGUUUCUCAUUUGGGAUUAACAUGGCGACACAUUUAAUUUGGAAUAAUAACAUUGAAGUCAUAGAAUCAGUCGAUCGAGGAGUACUUUCAGUUUGGAUAAACAUCACUCGAGUCAUAGAAUCAGUCGAUCUAGGAGUAUCUUCAGUUAGAUUAACAAUACUGCUUAUAUUUUGGUUGGUUAUCUAUCUAUGUCUCAGUCGGAGAAGAGUUUUUAAUUCUUUCGCUGAAGGAGGUCACUUCAUCAGCUUUCCAACGAAGUGGGGUGUUCUAUGAUCGAUUACACACAAGUGCACUUCAAAGUUUGGCAUUUAGACAGCCGAACAACAUUAGACAUUCAUUUCCUUUGAGUAUCUCUAUCCCUAAAAACUAAUACCAAUUUUCCGCGCUUAUAUUUUCACAAAUAUAGUCGAAACUGCUAUAACUAGUGCAGAAGAUCAUGAACUUAGUAGUGAAUUGCAUAGUCUUGUCUUCAUGUUCUGGAACUCUAGGUUGAGAGUGUUCAUUCCUCGACCAUAGUAGCUCGGUGCAGAAGUCAGUAGCGCGUUUGUUCUGCUAAUUGUAACAAUUCUUCUAAACCCUUUGGUCUAUUUAACUGUAAUAUUUCUAUACGGGUUCCUUAUUCUAAAAUCGGAUAUUCAUGCUCAAAUAUUUCUCCAUCAAACUCUUCUAUAUUAUUAUGCUCAUCAUUUUCUUUUGAGUUUUCUAAAUGAUAACUAUCUUGGCUAUUAGACUCUUCUAUACUUAUACUUUUGUAUGCUUCUAUAGUAUUUGUAUUCGUCUGAUCGAGCUUGGUUACUAAUUGGCACGCCUACAUUAACAUAAUGAUUUAGUUAGAUCAAUAGUUAUUUAGCAUGCACGCCAAGUAGUUCUUGUAAUUUCUAAGGUCAACAAAACUACAUGAUUGUGAAAGUUGAUGGUUGGAUUUCAUUUGACACAUCAAGUGGUCUACAAAAUAUAAUUUAAAAGUAUAGUUUCUCUACCAUCACCCGAAAAGAAAAUCAUUCUUUUCUUUAAUUUGAAUCAGGAGCAUAUUUUGACUUUUAAUUUAUUUUAUAGUAGUAAUAGUUGAGAAAGUAGGGCUCAAACCCAAUGCAUUUGAAUACUUCCAAGCUUUUAAUUUUGGUGCAAGUACUUGUCAUAUCCUACUCUUCCUUGAGGAUUAUAGAGCAAUACGAUGGAUCUAUGAUAUAUUCUUUUUGAUGUAAGAUCAUCCCCAACCUAUGGGAUAAAACUUAAAAUAUAAACUUUAAAAUCCCCCCAAACCAUUUUCAACCAUGAGCUAAAAUAAGUCUUGAGGAUAAAAUAUAUCUACAAUGGGCUAGAUUCCACCCAAGAUUUAAGUCUGGUUUAGAUUAUUCUGGACCUACUAAACUGUCAUAUUUCAAACAUUUGUUUUGUUUUUUACUUAUAAUUUAACGGCUAUGAUCAAAUGAGAUCAAAUCUAAUAGUAAAAAAAAGAUUUGACGGCCCAAAAUUAAAUCUAACGUUUAAAAUAAUUUAAGAAAAAUAUUUAAAUCAAAUUUAACUUAAAACUUUAUAAAUACCUAUGUAUUUGUAUGAUUUUUAAUUACUUAUCAGAAUUUAAAUAUUUUUAGACUAAAAUGUUCAUAAAAAUAAAUUAUUGUUGUAAAAUCGACGGUGGGUGCAGUGGAAUAAAUGAAACAAGACACAAAAUUUACGAGGUUCCUCUACAGUCAGUGUGACUGGAGUACGUCAUUGGGGCAGCAGUGAUGCUUUCAUUAUAAUUUGGAAUAAUAGGAAUAUAAAGAUAACUCUCUCUAUUAUCUCCUAUCCUCUUCCUCUCUUUUCUCUCUUCCUUUCUUCCUUCCUAUCUCUCCCAUGAGUCUCCCCACCCUUUUCACCUCUCAUUCAUUUUAUAAACAAAAGAAAGCACUAUUCACUUUACAAAUUUUCCACAAAUGAAUAGUGAAAAUAAUGUGCAUAAAUAGUAACAAACUAUUCAUGUGGGCCAUCCACAUAUUAUUCACAACACUCCCCUUUGAAUGACCACAAGUCUUCUAUUGACUCGUUAAAAUCUUGAUCUGUUUUGGAUGCUCUCCCUGAUAAGUAUCUCCCACUGUUUUCAAAACAUUUAAGCUGAUCGUUGAUCAUUCUGCUUCAGUCUCUUAGUAAGAAGAGUUGCCGAAAGAUGUGUUUUACUUCUUGUUAACUUUCCACAGACUUGUUCUUGAACUGGGUUGGAGGGUCUUCUGUUAGACUUACCCCAAAGGUCUGAAUUUACUCGUUUUAUCUGGAGCGGAAUUUGAUUCAAAAGUGGUGGACACUUGAUCUUGAAUCGGACUUGUGAUUUCAUCAAGGGCUUCGAGGUUUGAUCUUGAAUGAAAUUGGACCAUGAGGAGCUUCACGUGGCAAGUGAUCUUCAGUUUUGUUGGGGAUGAAUCAGCACGUGUUUGUUGCGCUUGUCUCUACAUGCUUCAAUGUAUCAUUUUCACUUGCCUUACUUGCUCCCCUUGCUUAAGUAGUAUUUUCCUUGGUUUUCCCCCAUGCAUGUGUAGCAUAUUCUCCUACAGUAUUUGCCUUCUGAUGUAGGAGUGGAAUGCAACCCUUGCAUUUGGAUGGUUCAUCACUUUUUGGUGACUGGAGACCCAGCUCUAACAACAGUUGAAGAUGGUUACUCGAGAGCAAUACUAGGUAAGCAAUCAUGAAAAGUUCCAGGCAGUCGGUUUCUUACUGUGAGUUUGAGUGGAGGUUCCGACAUAUUGCUUUCUUUAUCCUUGUCUUUGCAGGUAAGAACAAAGACAAAGGAAAUGACAGGAAGAUUGCAUGAUAUGAGAUACUCUUGCUCUCCUCCCUGAAGAUAUGAGAUACCCUUGCUCUGGUGUGACUUGUUUUGAAGAGGUAUUAUCGGAGAGGAAGAAAACUGAGUAUUUCGAGAUGCUUUGUUGAAGAUGCAUUCUCGGAGAUGAGGAAGAGUUAGGUAUUCUUGCAGGUCUGCCUUGUUAUGGAGAACAGAGAUCAACAUAUAUAAAGAUUUUUCAAUAGCAGGUAGUGGUGAUGUGCCUUUACUCUUGUCAGCAACUGUGGUGUAAUUAGAACAGUAAGAUUUACGCGUUUUCAACUUUGUUAGAGAUCUUUGACAAAGUUGCACGCGAUAUCCAAAAAAGCUGAGAUUGCGUCUGAAAAAUGUCAACGAACUUUAUUUAGGAAAAUCUAGCUUUUGAAAUUCGGAGAGCGGUGACUCUUCGAUAUCUAAACGAGUGGCUAUGUUGCCUCUUCUUUUAUAGAGACAUUAAUUGUGUUUAAGAGUAUGCUCAGAAAGUUGCUGCUUGUAGAAAUUUCCUCAUUCUUGCACUUCUGAAAUUUUACUUGACCUCAUUUUUCCUUCAUCAUUUUUGAAAAUGACUUGCCCAUCUAACAUUUGCUUAGAUUUGAGUCUUAGGAGUGAUACAGACGAGCAGCGUCAGGAUAAUAUAUGGCGCCCGUCCUUCUUAUCUUCUAAUGAUCCUCUUACGAUUGGGGACUCAGUGAUGAAGAAUAACAUAACCGCUACUGUGGUAGCUAGGAAUCUUCUCACUCCAAAGGAUAACAUGAUCAUUUCAAAACGGUCUGAUGAGUCGGCCGUUCAAGAAUCCUUGGCUCUCAGUGUUCAAUGUGCGGGCUAUGUAUCCAAUAUGGGCCAAUGCCUACUUGCUCAAACUCGCCAAGUUGAAUCAUUGAUGGCUAAGGUGGCAAGUCUUAAACUAGAAAUCAGAGAGCUCAAGCACAAGAAUAUAGUGUUACAUGUGCUUGCAAAUAAUUACUCGACGAGCAUGAAAAGAAAGCUCGAUUAGCUGCAGGAAUCGGAAAGUCGGAUUCAAAGUGAUCACCAGAGGUUUGUUGCUAGAUUCCGAAAGCAACUGAUGCUUUCCCCUUCUGGUGUUUUGCCAAGUACUGGGGUGCCACAUAAUCAAUCUCCAGUGCAUCCCCAUUCUGGGGUAUUUCUGAGUACUAAGGCUUCACAUGAACAACCUUUGUAAAGGCUCCAUCCUGUUUGUUUGUUUUAACUCAUGUGUAUGUACAUAUCUGUAAUUUCUCGGAGAUAUUAAUAGAUAAGUUUUAUUUCAUUCAAUGUAUUGUGCUAAAUACAAUAAAGCACAUACUUCACUAAGAUGUGGUACUUCUAGACCAAAUAUUAAUUUAUCUUUACCCUCACGAAGAUAAAUAAUCAUUCUUAGUGUCGACAUUAUUUGAGUAUUUAACUCAUAAUCUUCAAUCCAUAUGAUUCUUUAAUAUCAUAAACAUUAUAGAUGAGAUUUGUGUUGGCAUAUUGUUCGAUCUGCAGUUCGAGACAAUAUUUCUCUCAACACUUUAUAUUCUUUCUAAACUCUUCGGGAGUUUCAAUUCAACUAUUCAGGAGUUCUAAUUUAAUAUCAUCAACUUCUUGCAAGAGAUUUUAGUAUGUUGCAACAAUAUCAUAAUGAUAGUACUCACAAAGGCAAUUUAUACCAUCCAUUGGUAUUGAGUACAUAUUUUAUGCUUUACCCUUCCGGGGUUUACUUUAAGCAAUUUGAAUCCUUCAAGGAUUUUCUACACUUCAUGACACAUUUUCCUUUGGAAUUUAUAUAGAGCAAUUUGCUCCCAUGUAUACUUGAGGGAUUUACUUAUGGAGAUAUUGUGUGGGCGACUUACAACCCUUCGUAUAUAAUUCUCCAUUCAUAUGAACUUGUUUACAAGAGUAUAAUUUCAGGUUUCAAUACCUUGUGUCAUAUCAUGUGAGUGUAUUUCACUGUAUUACAAAUGCCCAAUGUAACCUCCUUGGUUCAACAUCUUUUGGCUAUUUGUAUUAUAUUCAAAUAUAUAGGUCCAUUUUUCCACGUUCGUACAAAAUUGUAAUGGAAUUGCCUUUCUCCAUUUUGGCCAAUAAUUUUGUUGACGAAAAAGAACGAGACUCAAUAUCAACACAGCUCAUUGAUGAUUUUGUAGCUACUUAUAAAAACCAAAAUUACCAUUGGUUAUCGUCAAUCCGUGAUCCCAUAUUCUCAUGUCCAUGCGCAUGCAUAAAAGCUUUUCAUUUCUUUUGGAUAUCCAUUGCCUCUUCAAGGACAUUACAUUAUCUCUUCCAAGAUAGUCGUAAUUUAGAGAAUGCGGAUCAUAACCUCUUCUUGAGCGUUAUAGAGCUUGGAUUUUAAUCUCCACUUCCGGGAGUUGAGUCAUUGGAACCUAUAUGUCUAUUAUGCUUCAUGCAUGAGACAUUAACAUUCCUAUGUCCACGGAUUGUUCUUUCUGGGAUGUAUAUCCAUGUGACGACUGUCAUGCUUUUGGCAUGCAACAGUUAUGCUUCGGGAAUGCAAUAGUUCAGUAAUGCAUAUUCUUCUUCUUUCGAAUGACUGAACCUUUUGAGUCUGAGGGUCUGCCACGCUUCAGGCAUGUAACAGAUAAAUCAUUUGCUGCCAUAUUAUUUUGUCCAACAGGGACAUCAAUUCUUGUAGGCACAUUUGCAGUAAGUAUAUAUGAUUUCAUCACUUUCGUUGCAUCAUUCAAUUAUUCUUACUUCAUUUUCUCAUUGAUUGCUUCGUGAAUCAAAAUAAGACAAAUUCUCUUUGUUCUUCUGGAACGGUCUUUUCUUAUCAUUCUUCUGAAAUGAUAUUUUCUCAUCGUUCUUCUAGAACAAUGUUAUUUUCUCCCCCUAAUGGCGGGAAAACUGUCUUAUCAAAAUCAUAGUCCGCAAAUCAUGUGGUAAAUAUAUCCCCAGUCAAGGGUUCCGAAUGUUGAAUGAUAGAUGGUGGAUCGAAUUCAACAUAAAUUCCCAGUUUGUAUUGAUACCUUAUUUUAGUAUGUUGUGGCAGUCUUACAGGCAUAUAGAUAACACAACCAAAAACUUGUAAAUGUUAAUGUUUGGCUGGUGCCCAAACACGAGUUGUACUGAGAAAAAUUGAUGGUUGACAACUGGUCUCAACCAAACUUAAUAAUGAAUUAUGUAAAAUGGUAUGUCCACAUGUAGAAAACUUGCAAUUUGGUUUUCAUGGGUAGAGCGCGGGUAAUCAAUUUCAUCCGCUUAAUAAAUGUUUCUGCUAAACAAUUUUGAGUAUGGACAUAAGGAACUUCUGGUCCUUAUUUAAUAGUUUGUAGACUGAGACUCUUAUGACCUUUAUUACAAUUAAGUUGAGGCACUGUGGCACUUCAAACUUAAGGUACUUAUCAAGAAACUUCAUGUCCGAUCUUGAGGAUCUAGGGACUUCAUGCCUGAUCUUUUUGCAUGAUGGAACUUCGGGUCCAAUCAUUUUAUGUGAUGAGGAUCAAGAAACUUCAGGUUCUGAUAUGAUCAAGGAACUUUGGGCCUUAUAUAUACUUAUCGUAACAAAAGGUAAGUACAAUAAAUAAAUUAAAGCAAUAGGCGGUAAUUCCAGCCAUAAUAAAUAAAUUGCAUUUAAGUAAAUAAAGCUUGUGACAAGGGCUUUAAUUCAGCACCAUUCACAUAAAUCAAAACUUAAAGCAGUAGCCUGUAAAACUGUCCAUGAUAAAUAAAUUGCUUUAAAGUAAAUAGAACUUGUGAAAAUGUUUUAAGCCAACACCAUUCACAUAAAUAACAAUAACAUGAAAUAUAUAUAUUUUUCUUUUCAGAAUGGUGGUUCCAGAAAUAUUUGGAGAAAUGUUGUGGGUACUUUGUGUAUUAUUUCCCUUGGAAUCAUAUUCACACACAUGCGCACACCCAGUAUUAAUAAUGGAUCACAUGCACCAUUCAAAGCCUUUUGGCCUUUUCCCCUUUAUGUUUUAUUAUAUUCCUCCCUUCACUUACCCAUCCAAAUUGUGCUUAUUUUAUUUUUUAUUUUUUCUUUUCAGAAUGGUGUAGAUGCAUCAUUAGAAACCUUUGUCCAAAAAUUCCACUUUUCCAAUUCUUUUUCACACGGUGCUUGAAACACCAUUCCAUAAUCCCUCAUUCCUUUUUCUUAUUUGUCUGUCUGUACUAGUCUCAAACCCAAGGCCAUCUGGGUUGUUGUGGAGGUCACACAGAGCCAAUUCAAUCCAAUAAGGCUACCAAAGACUAACGUUGUUCUUGCAUGGCCCAAAGAACAUGACGUCGCAAAGCAAGAACUUCCUUAUAGGGACAUAGAUGACAGCGGAGUUGAUGGAGGUACAAGAGAGGGAGGCAUUUGUGGAGUCAGUCAUGCCAUCACCAUCUCAGACAACCGAGUAUUCACGGGAGUUUUCGAGAUCCGUAAAAAACAACACGAUCUGGGUUUCCAAGUCUAAUGAGAUUCUUCUGGAUCUCUGGAAACUAGUUGUCAGGUACGAGUUUUCUUAUCUCGUGACAACUACAAGUCAUUGUAAAUUUCAAUUCUCACCAGAAUACGGCGGGGCGCUUCUGGCGCGGUGGGAGAUACAGAAAAUGGACAUACCUUUUAUUCUGUGAAUUUUUUUGGCUAGCAGAGGUGGGAGGUAGGUAAUGCUUCACCGGAUUUAUGACGUUAUGCUUUCCACGGACAUACGAGCUUUUCGUGCUGAUAACGUGUUGUAAAAUCGACGGUGGGUGCAGUGGAAUAAAUGAAACAAGACACAAAAUUUACGAGGUUCCUCUACAGUCAGUGUGACUGGAUUACGUUAUCGAGGCAGCAGUGGUGCUUUCAUUAUAAUUUGGAAUAAUAGGAAUACAAAGAUAACUCUCUUUCUUAUCUUCUCUCCUCUUCCUCUCUUUUCUCUCUUCCUUUCUUCCUUCCUAUCUCUCCCGUGAGUCUCCCCACCUUCUUCACCUAUAAUUCAUUUUAUAAACAAAAGAAAGCACUAUUCACUUUACAAAUUUUCCGCAAAUGAAUAGUGAAAAUACUGUGCAUAAAUAGUAACAACAAUUAUUCAUGUGGCCCAUCCACAUAUUAUUCACAACAAUUAUGAUAAUCUACAUAAAUUUUAUUUUAAAAAAAAUUACUGAAAACAAAAAGUUAGGCUAAAAUCAUUUAAUCAUCACGGACUAAAAUUUUAAGCUACAAGAGUUGGAGGGAAAAAACUGUUUCUGGCUUAAAUUUUUAAACUUUAUCCUCAAGAGUGGAGAUGGUUUAAUGGAGACAAUGGCCACUAUAUCCAGACACGGUUCGGUUAAUUGGACCAUCAAGCCCAAUCCGUAACCCUACUGGCCUCAUCGGUUUUUCAAUUUCCCAAACCGAAGCCGGACCGCUGAGAUUUGAAACCGUCCGUUAUAUGUAUAUAGAUUAGUGUUUUGCAUGUGUGGCUUAUAAUAUAAUAUCAUGAAAUUAGAUAAGAUGCCUUUUUCAUGAUUAAUUACAUUAUUUCGAAUAUAUAAACCCUAAACAAACGCAGAAAACCUAAUUAAACAUCUGGUCUAUGAUGCAGCGCGUAUCGUGAAAAAAUUAAUAAGAUAUCCCCAAGAGUUUUCCGGGGUCAUAUUCUCCAACUGAGAAAGCGAGAAUCAACAAAAUUUAGGGUUUAGGGUACUGAUAAAGGAAGUCAGAUUGAAAAUCCAUAGCUUUUGAUCAUUAAAGUCUAGUAAAGAGAAACCCCGGGAUAAACAGUAGCAAAAGAACAUAACAAUAGUAAAAAAAUACCCUUGUGCAACGAAACACAUCGUCGCGUAAAGUCAUUUUGCGCGAUGAAACUCUAAAUUUCGUCGCGCAUUGUUUAAAGUGAUUUUGCGCGACGAAACUCUAAACUUCAUAUAUCGUUGCGCAAAGUCACUUUGCGUGACGAAACACACAUCGUCGGGCAAAGUCACUUUGCACAACGAAACUUUAAACUUCGUCGCGCAAAGUCUUUACAAAAAUAAAUAAAAUAAAAUAAUUAUUAUUUUUUAAAUCUUUGCACGACUUAAUCCAAAUAUUUCGUUGCCUAAACCAAUUUUCGUUUUUUAUUAUUGUAGUUCGGAUCGCAUUUUUAUUAGAAAAAUAUAUUUUAAAUUGAUGAUCGAAUUAGUUCAUUGUAUUCAUAUAGGAUCAAUGAGUGUAGCUGUAAAAAAUCAUCAAAACUGGAGUUGAAAUAAUCGUUUAAUCGUGAUUUUUCAUUUAUAACCGUCGAAAAGUUUUGUCUUAUUACUUGAUAUUUGAAUGUUUGUUUUUAGCAAUUUUUGGCGUAUAUGAUCUCGAAGUACAUACAAACAAGUUUGACGGUUGGAUCGUUGAAUGACAUAUAUAUUUAUUAAGUAGCUUUACAUUUAUUUAUUUUGUACGUAUAACACUUAAGAAAUAGAAUGGUAUAUAUAUUUAUUAAGUAACUUUAAAUUUAUUAUUGUAGUUCAGAUCGGGUUUUUGUUAGAAAAAUAUAUUAUUGUGGGUUUUAUGUAAAAAAAAAUUGAAUUUGAAGGGAGUAAAGUCACAUUUUCAGUAAAUUUUAUAUUAAUUUUUUUUUUAAAUAUAACUUGUGCGACGCCACAAUGGGGUUGUUGAGCAAAAACCAAUACGCGACGUCAUAAUAUAUACAUGCGUCACGCAAACCAAUUUAUUUUUGUUUUUUAUUUAAUUUAAUUUUAUAAAUUUUAAAAUAUAGUUGUUUUCAUAGGUUUUUAUUAUUUUUAAAAAACUUUGUGCGACGAAUAUGAAUAUUUCAUUGCCUAACCCUUAUUUACUUAUUUUUAUAUUUUAUAUUGUUAAACUAAAUUAUUUCUUUAUUUUUUAUUAUUUUCUUUGCGCAACGAAUACACAUUUGGUCGCCUAAACCUUAUUUAUUUUAAUUUAUUUAUAUUUUAAAUUGUAAAAUAAAAUUAUUUUCUUUUUUAUUAUUUAUAUAAAUUUUGUGCAAUGAACAAAUAUUUCGUCGUGCAAAAUCCUUAAAUUUGGACGAGACCCAUCCCACAUCGGUGGGUGGGGGUUGGCCCCUGGCCUUAUAUGUACAUGUCUCUCUCUUCCUAGCAUGACGGGUUUUGGGUAGUGAGGUUCUCUUGCCCAGGAACAAAUUUGUGAGGGCUUGUCGUGCUACGGCGGAGUCGGGAUGUGACAAUUUGGUAUCAGAGCCAGACUCACCGUUUGUUCGGAUGUGCCGAUAAGGACAUCGAUCUCUCUAAGAGGGGUGGAUUGUAGUAUCCCACAUCGGCAGGGUGGGGGUUGGUUCUUGGCCUUAUAUAUACAUGCCCCUCUCUUCCUAGUAUGACGCAUUUUGGGUAGUGAGGUUCUCUUGCCUAGGAACAAAUUCGUGAAGGCGUGGCCCAAAGCGGAUAAUAUCGUGCUACGGCAGAGUCAAGAUGUGACAGGGCGUGGGAAUUUUUUUUAUUAAGACUUUGCGCGACCAAUUUUUCGUCACGUAAAACUUUACGUGACCAACACUUCGUCUCACAAAACUCUAAAAAUUUGGGCGGGCACCAAAAUUGGGACGCGGGAAAUUUUAUUUUUAAAUUUUUUUAAGACUUUGUGUAACCAAUAUUUCGUCACGCAAACUCGUAUCCUUCGUUGCGCAAAGUAAUACGGUUUUUAAAACCAAAAUAACUCCUCCACCAUUUUCUCAAUAUCUUUCUCUACUCUUACCUCUCCUCUUUCUUUCCCUCUCUAUCCCCAAAUCCGACCCUCUCUCUCACACUCACUCCUCUCGUUUAAUCUCUCUUCACUACUUUUCACUCUCACUCAUCUCUCUUUCACUAUCUCCUCUAAUUCUCUCACACUCACUCCUCCCUCUCAUUCUCACUCACUCUCAAUCUUGCCAAAAGGUAUAUUCUCCCCGAAUUUUAAUUUUUUUAUUUAUUAAUAUGUGUUUUUGGAGUUAGUUUUGAGUUUGGUGUGGGGUUUGGGGUCGAGUAUAGGGUGAGGAGUGGAGUUUGGGGUAUACCAAUUUCAGGGGAGAUUAUGCCAAUUUUUUGGUAUUAUUUUAUGUUAUUUUUUUGUUAUUUGACCAUAUUUGUUUUUUUGUAGGGAAUCAUCGAUACUUUGACAGCUAAAGUUGAGGAUUAGGAUGCUAUCGAACCAUAUCCCCUGCCACUAUCACCACAAUAUACUUGUUUAUGAUUUUAUUAUUGUACUUUUUUAAUUUAUGUGUACAUUUUGAAAAUAUUAUAUAUAUUGGAUAAUUUGAUCACUAUUUUUCAUAUGUAAUUGUAUUUUGAAUAUGUCAAUUUAAAUUAAGGUAAUUAAAAAAAAUAAAAUCAUACAAUAAAAUUAAAUUUAAAAAGUAAAAAUUCGAAAAAUCUUGCGCUACCAAAUAUUUCGUUGUGCAAACAAUUAAUAUAAUUAAAUUAAUAUAAGAGAAAUAAUAAAACAAAAAAAUAAAAAACCUUGCGUGACAAAAUAUUUCAUCGUGCAAAAUAUUAAAUUAAUUUAUUUUAAUUAAAAAACAAAAAACUUUGCACGACAUUAAUCUUCGUCGCGCAAAGUUACUUUGAGCUACUUUGAGCGACUUUGCGCGAUGAAGUAUUUUGUCAUGCAAAGCUUCCACUAGUACAAAAAAGACUUUGCACGACGUAGGACCGUCGUCGUGCAAAGUCAAAAAUACGUUGCCCAAAAAUUAGCCAAACGAACCUUCAUCGCGCAAGAACCGUCACGCGAAGGCAGUGAAGGAAGGGGAGGACCACAGACAUCAAGAGCAAACAUACAUCCUCACAAAUUCCCAUAUCAUGCACAAAUCCAAUUUCAAACCUUUCCCUACAGAAAUUUAUGGAUGCUACUAAUCUUAUACAAGUUAUGAAAGCCAAUUUACGAAGAUAAUACGCAAGUCAUUUACUAAGCAUGAGACAUUUGUUACUAAAUACAUUGACAUAUUCUGCUUGCUGAUUGCAUUUGCAAUCGACUGAUAAUUUGACUUAUGAAUGGAACUAGGUACACAAAUGUAAAACUGUACAAACAAGGUGCUUAAACUUGCAGACUGCUAACUUCUAUGAACAUAAGAAGAUGGCGUUACUAAAAGGCUCAUUGCCUGCUUGCACUCGACUGACACAAUCCGACUUCUAAAUGCAACAAUUACAUUGCUCAUUCUCUUAGCAAGUGACUAUUUGCAGAUUUGAAAUAAGGUGUUGGAUUAAAACAAAGAAGGGAGUAGGUGUUGACAGGGGAUCAAAACUGUAAACUUGAACAAGUGUUCAAAUGAUGAUAGGCUGCAGUCUGAGGAUUGGCAGCAUCUUAAUGUCUGUUUGAUAAGUACUCAGAGCUAAAUGUUACUCACAAAAUAUUAUUAAGAUAUGUCAAACAUGCAAGUAGUUGAAGAUAAAGAAUGUCUUAAGACAUAGACUUGGGAUUAAUAAGGGAUUAAAAAAGGAGGAAUAAGUUAUGUGCUUUGUUUAAUCGGUCUGAAAAAACGAAUAAAGCAGGCUGGGUUUACAUCGAAGUUUGUAGGCGAUCAUGCGUCUGCUCUCUUAUUAUUUGUCCUCUUUCAUUUUCUUCCUUGUUUUAUAUAUAUAAAAUUUUUCUCUAACAAAUGAUAUUAUCUACACUAAAAGAAGGCCGUUAAGCCUCACAAUGCUAUUCCUAGUAAUUUCUUAAGCUGUGCUCAGUGGCUGUUGAAUGAUUGAAGAGUAAGACGAAUAUCUGCAAUCGUUUGAAAAACGGCUUGGAUAAGAAACAGAUUAGUCUUAAACAUGUACUUACUAUUUUCCUAACAGUAAAGGUUUUGCACGAUUCUAAUCUCACAUUGUUAAGAUUGGAUAAUAGUGUGAGUUAUAGGAUACAAUGGUCGACAAACAAUGUUUAUGCCCUGAUUCUUUAUGGUUUCAAUUGAUUCCUUGUAUCCACUCAAUUCGAAUUCAUAAAACUAAUGUUUUUGGUCUUUCUACUAAUUCAGCGUUAUUGUAAUAUAUCCAAAUCCUUUCUUUUAAAUCAUUCCAUCCACAUAAGCUCGAAUCCAUGGAAAACAUUAAUAUCCUUCAUUAAGUAUACCUUAUCAGGGUUUAGUAGAACUUUGAUGCCAGGAACACCUUUCUCCAAACCAUUUUUGACCUGAUCAGCUCUUACCUUGAAUGACUUGCAUUGCUUGCUAGAGAAAAGAGCCAAAUCAGUCAAUAAGGAUAAUAAAAGAACUGCAAGUACACAAAGAUCUUGCUAUUGCAGGGGGAAUGGGGAAGGAAAACGUACAUGUGGAUGCAAAUUUCUUCCUCCUUGAUCUUGGACGAUUUUGCACCUACAAAACAAUUAACACCUUAGGUUAAGGCCAAGAGCCUCACGCGCCCACGAUGAAUGGGGGGGGGGCUUUGGCCGAAGAACCUCCGAUGCCAAAGUUAGAAUUUAGAGAGAAAGAGUGUUUAGAGAAUUUUGGGAUUUUUGCCAAAGUGUUGGAAUGAAUAUUUGGUGAAAAUAUGAGCCUAUUUAUAGGGCUAGGUUGGUUUAUGUUUUAUUUUGGUUUAAUUAGCCAAUUAAUUGGCUAAUUAAACAUAAAAGGAAAUAUUUUUGUGGUUAUGGAAUUAAUUGGCUAAUAAAAAGGAAGAAAUGGUGAAAAAGGUAGAAAAGGUGAUGGAUUAGGUUUUGAAUGGGGAUAGCCGGCCAUGUGGUGUUUUAGGGUUGAAUUGGAUGUAUUUUGUGGUUAUUUGGAUAUAAUGGAUGGUUUAAUUGACAAUUAAUAGGUUAAUUACGCAAUAAACCCAUUAAUUAGCCAAUUAACAUAAUUUAAAAGGAAUGUGUUUGGGAAUUGCCUUGUAGAAAUGAUUUGAUGAGAUGGACUUUGAAUUGUUACCUAUUUUAGGCACUUCUGUCUUGGUUGAAAGAGGGUUGCCCGCUGCUUGCGCGUAGGAACCUCGUUGUACUGCAAGGGUAUUUUUGUCGUUUUUGUCAAAAAAUCCACGUGUCGCCUUAUGUAUAUUUUUGGCUCCACAAAUGCCCCCACACCUGUUGAUCUGCUCGCAGAAAAGGGCAGCAGGUGUAGAGAUCUUCUUACUUUAGGAAACUUAUGACUGCUUCCUAUUUUGAUGUAGAUUCUCUCUUUAAUAAGAAAUUAGAUCCUUCUAGGAAAGGGAAAUAAAUUUCUCUCAAAGCCUAUUUAAGUCCACCUUAAGUGGGUUAUUAAAUCAACUUUGGAGAGCGAUUUAUUCUACCCUACAAGAGAGAGAUAGCUUAGAGGAUAUUUGUUCCCCCUCCUCUAACAAUCUUCUACAUCUUGCCCGUGCAAAAGACCGUCUUUCGUUGCUUUCUUCGUCUUCUUCGUGCUGCACUGAGGUAAGAAAAAAUUAAUUUUUCUUGUCUUCUUCUUAGAUGGUGCUACCUCGGGGCAGCCGUCGGGGUGGUGCGGCACGUCGGCUGGUAUGGGCCAGGAGUCGGCUCGGCAUGGGCCGAGGAGGUAUUGUGGCAGAGACCACUGCUUUAAGCUGCUCGACUUGGCUAGAACCAAUGGCAGCUUGUAUGGCUGGGGCCACGGAUUGUGGCGCUGUGGCGCAGUGCUAGGCGAGUCACAUGGCUCAUGUCUUUUUGGGCUUUUGGACAUGACGCGAGCUAGGCAGGUGAUUGAGAGAAAUGAAGAGGUUGCGGGCCUCAUGAGCUGCUGGAAUGUUGGGUUGAACUCCCCUGCUGGGUAGUACGAAUGGCGUUGGCUACUUUAACUCUCUUCAUCAGGAGAAACGUGGGCUGCUCCCAAAAUAAGAGGUGAAUAGGAUCAAGGCGGAUGCAUUGGCUCGUCCAAUCACCGUUGUGGAUCCUGCUGCAAGUGAAGGUGGGAAAAUGGAUCUUCCCUGCCUGCUCAAGAGAUGCCGGCUAAGAAAAAACCAAAGACUUCUUUCAUUGCUUAUGCAAAGGAUGAAAAGUUGAUUGCUGCUUAUAAUCAAGUGAUCCACUUCAAGAGAAUCGUCGAUAGGCAUGAACCCCAAGUGUUGGAACUUCAAAGUGUACUGAAGAUCAACGAAAGUUUGAAGAAAGAAGUGGAUGAGCUGCAGCGCGUCCAUGUUGGUAUUGGUGAAGUAGUUGGAGAAGUUGGUGCCCAGGCUGGAGCAGUCAGGGGUGAUGCCGCUGCUAAAAGCUUCGUGGCUGCUGAAGGUGUGGCGACCGAAAAGUUGUGGGAUGUCCAGGCUGCUAAAGUGUAGUCAUCUAGGUAGCCUUUAAGAUUUUCUUUGUUUUUCCUUGUAGCUCUUGUUUUGCUUGAACUCAUUCGGCCUUUGCUAGUCGUUUAUAAACAUGUUUUCCUUAGCUUUUCUUCAUUUUUGCUUCUUUUGUUCAUGCCCUAACCUUUAGACUUGAUAGACCAGUGGCAAGCAUGCUACUUUUUUAUAAGCAGACAAGCUCGCGUAGCCUAUGCAGCCGUAGGUGUUGGUGUAGAACUUUGCAAAGUUGUUAGCCAUUGGGUUGGCAGCCGGAUGCCUUACUUAUAGAAGCAGACAAGUCCGCGUAACCACUAGGCUGUUAACCUUGACUUUCUCCAAUUCCGUAGGUUGCGUAGCAAGUAUCACAACACUUUAGGACUUGGUGUAGGUUGUUCCGCGCUUGGCAGAGGUGAAGCUUAUCGACUACGUAGCAUGUCAGUAGUGGAUAAAACUUCGUAUAUGCGUGCUAGCUUGUUUAACCUUUCACAAGAAUGUGCGGUUGUAUAAAUCUAGUGCGGCUUUACUGCUCGAAGGGCAAGCCGUAGGCAGUCUUCCGGAAUCCGUAGGCUACCUUAGUGCACUCGGUAGCAGCUUUAGGAUUCCAGGGCAGCCGUCCAUCGGAUGUACUGCGUAAUGUGCCCUCUCCGUCUCUAGGGCCCGGUUCCCCACGGAUUAGGCCAAGAGACCCAAAAUCCUUCAGUUAGCUAAGCCUUGAAAAAGACCAUUGCGGCUACUUCUAGGAAUCCCGGCGCAAGCCAUCGUGCAUCUAGUUAUACUAGGGCAGCCUGGCUCAUCCACGUCUGGAUAUUCGGAGUGCAUAGUUUAUCCUCCCGUUCUUGGAGAGCUGACCCAUGUGGGUGUCGGGGAAUUGGUUUACCCUCUCGCGUUGGAGAGCAAUUAGUUUACCCUCUCGCACUGGAGAGCAUGGUUGGUCCCUCGGGGGGCGCAAUUCCUGUGGUAAGUCCCUAAGAAGGGCACGGUCUUCUUUUGAAGUGCAGGAGUGAUCAGUUGUUGUAAGCAUGCAGCCAAGCCAGGUCGUGAUUACUUCUAAAUUCCUCAUUGAAAAAUGAGUUAAACGAACAAGAACUUAGAUGUAAGGUAAGAACUGCAUAACAACUGGAUAAUCCUUGGCUGGUGAGGUAGUGCCCGUCGAGCUGCUUGAGUUUUCGGGCUUUGAUGUAGCGAGAGGUCACACAUGGUACUUCCUCAGAUUGUAGGCGUUCCAUUGUUUUUUGAUCUUUUUGUCGUUUUAUGGUGGCGAAGGUGUAAUUGUUCUUGCCACCUACUAUGCUGAUCUUGUACGGACUUUCCCAGAUGGGAUCCAUAUUUUUGGAGCCUUUUCUGCUGGCAGUGAUAAAGGUUUUUCUUAUGACCAGAUCUCCGGGCUGGAACUGCCGGAUCUUGGCCCUUUUGUUGUAGUUGGAGAGGAGCUGAUGCUGGUAGGCUGCAAUGCGAGUGAUAGUCUGUUCACACCUCUCUUCUGCCAGAUCUAAGCUUGUGGCCAUCUCUUUUCGGUUGCUCGUCUUUUGGUUGUGCGAUAUGCCUAUAGACAUCUUUGGAGUUCGUCUGGCCGUUUUCUUUUCUUAUUGGUGGGGGAUUUCUUGUGGCAGUCGAGGAUCAUCUUAGUGGAUGCUUUGGCCCGCUUAUUGCCUUGAGGAUAUCUUGGUGUAGACAUGUGCUGCUUGAUGCCAUAUUUUUGGAAGAACUUCACCAAAUCUUUGCCCACGAAUUAUGGGUCGUUGUCGGUGAUGAUGGAUUAAGGGAUGCCAAAUCGGUAAAUGAUACUCCUUCAUAUGAAGCGCUCUAUAUCCGUCUAAACCAUGAUCGUUAUAGGCUCUGCUUCUACUUAUUUGGUGAAGUAGUCGGUUGCCACGAUUAUCAUGUUUUUGCCCCUGGUAGUCUGGCUGGUGAUUAGCUAGGACUCGGAAUGAAUGGAAAGCUUUUUCACCACCAAGUCUUUUGUCAUUCGAAGGCCUGUUAAUGGGGCUUCGUACUCUGCUUCGUUGUUAGAUGCUUUGAAGCUUAGAGUGAUCUCCUGUUUAAGCAUUGAAACGUCUGGGGUGGCAGGAACCAUGGCUGCUCACGAGCCUUCAUAGUUGGAUGCGCCGUCGACAUGCAAACGCCAGAAAUCUCCAUUGAAUGAGCAGGUGUGGCUAAAGUGUGCUCGGCUACCUUCGAGGCGUCGUUAAACCGAGUUGUUGUGUUCGUCAGAAAACUUUGCAUCUGCCAGGGUCUAAGCCUUUAUCGUCGCCGGUUUGGAUUUAGCGGAAUAGUGCGUCAUGAUGAUGACUGCUUGCGUUUGAAGGUAAAACUUAAGCUUUUGGGUUACAACAAUUAUCGCCAAAGUUAACUUUUGAAUUUUUAAUAGCAUUGAGGAGAGCUUUUGAACUGUAGAAUACAGGUAGUCGGGCCCCUAACUCUUCUCGCAUGAUGGUAGAGCUUAUUGUUACUUUAGAUACCAUCAAACAUGCAAAUAAGUCAUCCGCUGCUUCUAGGGAGGUGAUGUCGGGUACUUCUUCAAGUCCUUGAAUGUGCAUUGGCGAGCCUCAUCCCAAAGUGCAUGCUUCUCUGCCAAAGCAAAAGAGUCUGCCAGAGUUAGAUCUUCUUUCAUGAUCAAUUUUUCGAAUAACGGGUGGUCUGCUGGAAGUCCUUUUUGGAAGGCUGCUCUAGCUAUCAAGUCGUUGUAUCCGACUAUUUUUGCCUUCUCUACUUUGAACCUCCUCACAUAGUCGCGAAGCGACUCCUUUGGGUUCUUCUUGAUGUUGAACAAAUGGUCAGACUUCUUUUUGAUCAAACGAUAAGAUGAAUAUUCUUUGGUGAAAACCAAAGAAAGUUCGUAGAAAUUCCGGAUGGAUUGUGACGGCAGGGUGUAGAACCAAUCUUGCGCCUCGUCUUGUAGAGUGGUGGCGAAUAUUUUGCACAUGAGAUCAUCGUUGUUUCGAUAAAGGAUCAUUGCACUUUGGUAGCGCUUUAAGUGUCUCUCCGGGUCUUCAUCCCCUUUGAAAGAUGUGAAAUGUGGCAUGCUGAACUUGCGUGGAGGCUCUGCCUGCUCGAUCUCGUCCGUGAAGGGUGACUUGCUUAUGUUGGUCAUGUUCCGUCGUAGUGCCUCGUCGGUGACCUCGUUGCGUUGGAAAUCAUGCAAUCGCUUGGUCAAUAGUCUCUCUACUUCUUCUUGAAUUUGCAUUUGUUGGGGUAGCAGAGCUCUCGGCUGCCCCCAGCCAUGACUUGCUGGUCUAGGUUGCUCUUCCAUAUGUUUGGCUCGUCUAUGCCGCGGAUGCAGUGCAUGUGGUACGUUCCUAGUAGGCGAACGAGUUCUUCACAGGCUGCUGGUUGAACUUGAGCUGGAUUGAGUGACUGCUUCUCUCCGUCCGUCGUGCUGCCUACUCUGAUGUGAGGUGAAUGAUGCUCCUUGUGGGCUUAGUCGCGAAUGGACAAUUUGUCCGGAAGGUUGCUCAUGUUGACUAUCGGAGUAUGACCCCAACCGUGAAUGUAUGCUCAUCCGUGGGCCUAAUCGAGAGUGCAUGUUCAUCCGCGUGCUAAGACGGGAAUGUACACUGCCCAAAUGUUGGGCUCGUGGCUGGUCGAAUGGCUGCUUACCGGGACGCUGGAUCCCUUGUCCGGGGCACGUUGGAUCCCGAUGCGUUGCAAAAGUUGAUUCACUAAGGUUGUCUGUUGUGCAAGGGCGCUCGUCAACUCUAUGACUUGUCAAGACAAGUGUUGUUCGCCAUUUGGAUUGGAAGAGCUUGGAAGGAAUGUGCCUCCUUGGGUAGUGGAAGGGUGGUAGACUCCGGGCACGAGAUUUGAGUUGGGAAAUGUCAAAUCCGUGAAAAAAUGUGGUAAGAAUGCCCUCGGCUCGAUGGUAGGUCCGGAUGGUUGAGAUAGUCUUGGGCCGACUUGGGCUGCUUGGAAAACCACGGGAGCAGGCUGGGCCGUGAGAGUGGGCUGCUCGACUGGAGCUGGCUGGGCCACUAGAAUGGGCUGCUCAUCGGGAGCAUGCUGGGUCACGAGAGCAGGCUGCUCGGCAGAAGCAGGUUGGGCCGUGAGAGUAGGCUGCUAGACGGGAGCAGGCUGGGCCAUGGGAGUGGGCUGCUAGACGGGAGCAGGCUGGGCCAUGGGAGUGGGCUGCUCGACGGAAACAGGCUGGACCACGGGAGUGGGCUGCUCGUCGGGAGUAGGCUGGGUCACGAGAGCAGGCUGCUUGGUAGGAGCAGGCUGGGCCAUGGGAGUAGGCUGCUCGACGGAAGCAGGUUGGGCUAAGGGAGUGGGCUGCUAGACGAAAGCAGGCUGGACCACGGGAAUGGGCUGCUUGUCAGGAGCAGACUGCUUGGCAGGAGUAGGCUGGGCCACGAGAGCAGGUUGCUUAGCGGGAGCAGGCUGGGUCGCGAGAGCAGGUUGCUUGGCGGGAGCAGGCUGUUUAGUAUGUGAUGCAUGCGAAUGCGAGGCUUGGGCCCGGGCCCGUGCAAACUUGGAUGGCACGACUUGGGCCGUGGCCUUGGUGCCGUGAGCCUUGGAUGGCACGGCUCGAGCCGUGGUGAAGGCACCAUGGACCUCGCCACGGGUGGCUACCGAAGUAGCCACCGUGGUGGUUCCCAUGGUGGAAACUCGUGAUGGUGGUGCUGCUCCACUUAUUGUCGCAUUUAGCCUCACGGAUCUCCGCAAUCCCAUUUCUUGAACAUUAGAAUUUUCACUUGUGGAAUUUUCUAAAUUUCUAGCCAUUAUAUUUUGCUUAUACGUUUUAUCAAAGAACCUUUGCACGUAAAAAAUUCUAAUAAUAAGAACGUAUCAAAAAUAUUCAAAUGGACUAGAAGAUAAAGAAAAAACAUUUUUGUGCGAGAGUCUUCUACGAGUAUGGAUUUCAACUCUCAAUGAAAGCACCAAUUUGUGGAUGCAAAUUUCUUCCUCCUUGAUCUUGGACAAUUUUGCACCUACAAAACAAUUAACACCUUAGGUUAAGGCCAAGAGCCUCACGCGUCCACGAUGAAUGGUGGGGGGCUUUGGCCGAAGAACCUCCGAUGCCAAAGUUAGAAUUUAGAGAGAAAGAGUGUUUAGAGAAUUUUGGGAUUUUUGCCAAAGUGUUGGAAUGAAUAUUUGGUGAAAAUAUGAGCCUAUUUAUAGGGCUAGGUUGGUUUAGGUUUUAUUUUGGUUUAAUUAGCCAAUUAAUUGGCUAAUUAAACAUAAAAGGAAAUAUUUUUGUGGUUAUGGAAUUAAUUGGCUAAUAAAAAGGAAGAAAUGGUGAAAAAAGGUAGAAAAAGUGAUGGAUUAGGUUUUGAAUGGGGAUAGCCGGCCAUGUGGUGUUUUAGGGUUGAAUUGGAUGUAUUUUGUGGUUAUUUGGAUAUAAUGGAUGGUUUAAUUGACAAUUAAUGGGUUAAUUAGGCAAUAAACCCAUUAAUUAGCCAAUUAACAUAAUUUAAAAGGAAUGUGUUUGGGAAUUACCUUGUAGAAAUGAUUUGAUGAGAUGGACUUUGAAUUGUUACCUAUUUUGGGCACUUCUAUCUUGGUUGAAAGAGGGUUGCCCACUGCUUGCGCGUAGGAACCUCGUUGUACUGCAAGGGUAUUUUUGUCGUUUUUGUCAAAAAAUCCACGUGUCGCCUUAUGUAUAUUUUUGGCUCCACAGUACACAAUAAAAACCAAGGACUAAACGCUUAAGAAACAAUCAUCAUAAUCUUAUAAAAAAAAGAAGAAAAGUUUGCGGACUGCACAAGACUUUAACUAAUGUGGGAUUUGGGGAGAGCAAGACAUACAAAAUAAUAACACUGUUUCUAACGAUUACAGAUUUAGGCAUUAUGGCUAUUCCUAGUAAUUCAAACUUCAAACCUGAUCUGGUAGAUGGUUUUGAAGAGAGAGAUGGGCGAUGGAGGUAGCUGCUGCAACUAGAUAUGCAGUUUCUGCCUCCCAAACUGAUCAAAUGAAAAGAAAAAAAAGUUGUUGACUUUGCGCGACGCAUGCUCACCUACGUCGCGCAAAACAACUUUGCGCGACGUAGGUGGGCAUGCGUCGCGCAAAGUUGGGAAAAAGCGGUAAAUUCUUUUGGUUUGGCGUCAAAAGUUUACGCGACGUAGUCCUUCGUCGCGCAAACUGACGUUGCACAAAUAUGUUUUGCGUGACGUACGUACACCUACGUAGCGCAAAACGGCUUUGCGCGACGUAAUUUUAUGCGUCGCACAAGUUUUCGUCACGCAAACAUGUUUUUGUACUAGUGUUCUUUGUGCAAAGUAGCUUUGUGCGAUGAAGAUUAAUUUUUGUCGAGCAAACCUUAGCUUCACAAACUUUGCGAGACCAAACUUAUUUUGUUGCACAAAAUGUUUUUUGUAGUAGUGUAAGUGUCACAUCCCGGGCUCGACUCCACUGUAGCACGAUAUUGUCCGUUUUAGGCCUCGACCACACCCUCACAGUUUUGUUUCUAAGAACUCACAUGUGAACUUCCCAGUGGGUCACCCAUCCUGGGAAUGUUCUCACCCGAACUCGCUUAACUUCGGAGUUCCGAUGGAACCCGAAGCUGGUGAGCUCCCAAAAUGCCUCGUGUUAGGUAGAGAUGAGAAUAUACAUAUAAGGCUUAUCGGAUCCUUACCCCUGGGAAAUGUGGGAUCUUACAUAAAGCACAGAACCUGUGGCAAUUGGAUAUAAAAAUUAAUAAACUAAUUAUUGGAGGUAGAGAGAUUUUGACUACUUCAAAUGUUUAGGCCACAAAAAGAGUUGAAAAAUAAUAUGAACUGCUAGGUCGAACGCUUAACAUUGAAUUAUUUCCUUCCAAACCACUUUUCUCUGGCUUUUAGUUAUGCUGCAUACAUGCAUAAUAUAUAUCUACUCAUAAAAUACAAACAAACAACUUCCCAACACUCGUCCGGUUUUAUUCAUGUUUAUCAAGAUCAUCAGAUCUGAAUUAUUAGUGAACAACACCGAUGAAAACUUGCUAUCAUGCCAUGCGUGAUGCACAAAGCUAUCGAAGUCUCAGCCUACUGUGACCGCAUCCAUGAAUUCCGAAUCAUUCCCCAUGGCCCCAAGGUCUCAGCCAAAAGACAAGCUUCAACAUCAAUGCUGUUAGUGUAACUUGAUUUCAAUGAGAGUUUUGAUGAAGAUUGAGCUGUACAGAAAACACACGAUGAACAAAGGUUGGAGAAAGCGAACGGUUUCUUGUUCUUCUCUCUGCAGAAACUUUACAGAGGAAUAUUGCUACUCAUUUUAGAAAUGAGCACUCACAUGCUUUACAUUAACUGAAGGUCCUUAACUUGGGACCACAUAAACUACUACAUUUCAUCCUAGACACACAUCUCUCUAAUUUCAUGGAUCUACCAACACAUGGCACUCAUGGCCUUUUUACAAAACUAGACAUUUACACUUUGCCUCAUCCUGCACAAGUGGAUUCACCAAUUUAAACAAAACUUAUUCUAAAACAUUUCAGCUCAAAUACUUAUAGUUCAACACUCCCCUUUAAGCUUUGAGCUGAUUUCACACCAAGCAUAUCUCGAAGAUAGUUGAAUCGAUCCUUAGACAAAGCCUUAGUAAAUAUGUCUGCCACCUGCUCAUUUGUUGGACAGUACACCAAAUCGAUUAUCCCUUCCUGGAGUGCAUUCUUGAUAAAAUGAUACCUUCUGUCAAUGUGCUUGGUUUUCUGAUGGAAAACAGGAUUUUUAGUAAUUGCAAUUGCUGCUGUAUUAUCACAGUGUACUGGAGUCGCUUCAGUUUGCAUCUCACCAAAAUCUUCAAGAACAAAUCUAAGCCAAAUGGCUUGAGCAGUUGCUUCAGAGGCACUGAUGUACUCUGCUUCUGCUGUAAAGAGUGCUACACAAUUCUGCUUCACUGAGGCCCAUGAGAACACUCCACUGCCAAAGGAAAAUGCAUAACCAGAAGUACUCUUGCUAUCAUCAACAGAUCCUCCCCAAUCACUAUCACAGAAUCCGAUUAGCAUUGCAUUCUUUCCCUUUACAUACUCCAGACCAUAAUCUAAAGUUCCCUUGAUGUACCUAAGCACUCUUUUGGCUGUUCCAAGAUGUUUAUUUGUAGGACAGUGCAUGAAUCGAGCUAGAAGGCUUGCAACAUACAUUAUAUCUGGUCGAGUUGCUGUGAGAUACAACAAACUUCCAACAAUUCUUCGAUACUGUUCCUCACUUGCUGAACCACUGCCAUCAUCUUUGCAUAGCUUCUCUGAUGAAACCAGUGGUGUAAACACAGAUUUACACUCAUUCAAACCAAACUUAUCUAACAAAGAACCAGCAUACUUCCUUUGAUGGAUAAAUAUGCUUGUGUGAGUUUGAAUCACUCCCAUACCAAGGAAAUGGUGAAGGAGCCCCAAAUCUGUCAUCUCAUAUUUUGUCAUCAUGUCUUCCUUGAACUCCUUCAACAUCUCAGUGCUAUUCCCAGUAUACACUAUGUCAUCCACAUAGAUUGAAACAAUCAGAAUUUCUCCUCCCCUUACUUUGAUGUAAAGAGUAGCUUCACUCUGACUUUUCACAAACCCACAGUGAGCAAAAUAGGUAUCAAUUUCACUAUACCAGGCUCUUGGCGCCUGUUUUAGACCAUACAAAGCUUUAUAAAGCUUGUACACCUUGUCUUCACUCCCCUUGAUCACAAAACCAUCUGGUUGUUCUACAUAAACUUCUUCUUCGAGUACUCCAUUCAGAAAAGCAGAUUUCACAUCUAGUUGGUAUAAUUUCCAACUUUUCUGAGCUGCCAAAGCAAUUAGAGUCCGAAUUGUAUCCAGUCUAGCUACAGGUGCAAACGUUUCAUUGUAAUCCACACCUGGUUUCUGAGCAUAUCCUUUGGCUACCAAUCUUGCCUUAUGCUUUUGCACUGUCCCAUCGAGAUUAAGCUUGGUCUUGAACACCCACUUAACCCCAAUUAUGGGUUUAUCACUUGGUAUGUUCACCAGAUCCCAUGUUGCAUUCUUCUCAAUCAUUGACAGUUCAUCUUUCAUAGCCUUCAUCCAUGCUUCAUCUUUGGCUGCCUCUUCAAAUUUUUCAGGUUCCAUAAUACAAAGAUUGCAUUGUGCCAAGACAUCAUCUAGAUUCCUCCAUUUCAAUGGAGUGUGAUCAAAGGCUUGAGUCAUUCUCAUGCUGCUGUCCACAUCACUUACAGAUUCAUGAGAAAAUGCCAGAUUUGGUGACAAAACAUAAUCAUUUUCCUCUGGAGUUGUCUCUGAUGAGAUACAUUUAGGCAGCACAGAUAACUCACUAGGAUUAAACACAGUUACAUAGUUCUCAGGAGCUGUCUUCCAUUCCCAGGCUGCAUUUUCAUCAAACACAACAUCCCUUGAGAGUAUAAGCUUUUUACUAAGAGGAUCAUACACUCUGUACCCCUUUUCACAGGUUGCAUAACCUACAAAUAUGCCCUUGACACUCUUUGCAUCUAGUUUCUGUCUCAACUCAUUUGGUGUGUGUACAUAACACAGACAACCAAAGAUUCUAAGAUGUGCAAUUCCAGGUUUUCGACCACUGAAUGCUUCAAAUGGAGUUACUUCUCCAAGAGCUCUUGUAGGACACCUGUUCAAUAUAUAGACAGCUGUGAGUACAGAUUCUGCCCAUAAGUAGUAUGGUAGUCCUUUGUCAUGAAGCAUAGCUUUUGCCAUCUCAACCACAGCUCGGUUUUUCCUCUCUACCACUCCAUUCUGUUGUGGAGUAUAGGCCAUAGAUAACUGUCUUUGAAUCCCUGCAUCUUCACACAGUUUGUUGAAUUCACACAAGAUGUGAAUUCACCCCCUCUGUCACUCCUCAAACAUUUUUAUCUUAAAAACCACUUUGUAAUUCCACCAUGGACUUGAAUUUUCUAAAACAGAUCAAUGCAUCUGACUUGUAUUUUCAGAAAAUAAACCCACAUCAUUCUUGUACAGUCAUCUACAAGAAGCAUGAAAUAUUUGUUGCCCGCAAGAGAAUCAUUCUGCAUAGGACCACACAGAUCUACAUGCACCAGUUCUAGAGGUUUACUUGCUCUCCACGCUUGAUUCUUUGGAAACCACUCUCUAUGCUGUUUCCCAAACUGACAACCUUCACAAACUUCAUCCAUUUCUUCUAAAACUGGGAGACCAUGCACCAUUUCUUUGUUCUUAAGCUGUUGAAGACCUCUAAAAUGCAGAUGGCCUAGUCUCUUGUGCCAUAUCCAAGUAGACUUAGAAAUACCUGCUCUCAGUACAACCUGAUCAUUUUGUAUCAGUGUCAAAGGAUAACAUCUGUUCUUUUUCAUUUCAACUUUGAGUACAAGACAAUCCAAUGAAGGUCCAUCAAAGAUACUACACAUCUUUCCCCCAAAUAACAGGUAGUAACCGUGUUCAUCCAUCUGCCCCACACUUAACAGAUUUUCCUUCAACCCAGGUAGGUACAUUACUUCUUUGACAUAUUUUCUGCCUUUGCUAGUGUCUAUCACAAGUGUACCAAAACCUGCCACAUUCAUGAGUUCCCCUGUGGGCAUUUGAACCUUGCCAACCACAUUUGUCUUCAUGUCUAUCAACAACUUAGAAUCCCCUGUCAUAUGGUUGCUACAACCACUGUCUACAUACCAUUCUCCAUUCACUUUUGAUUCAGUGAUUGUGCUAUUUGCAUAAAACAGGUUCCCUGUCACCUCUACCUGAUUAGCACUAUUUGCCUUUUGCACUAAUUUACCUACUGUGCACUCUCUAGCCCAGUGACCAAACUUUUUCACAGUUAUAGCAUUUAGGUUUCCCUUUAUACCUACACUCUCCAAAGUGAAACUUAGAACAUACCUUGCACUGUGGUUUUGUACCUAUCUGCCCCAUUGACUGUGCAUUAUGUGCAGGAUUAGCAGGAAAAUUUCUGCUGAAACUUAGGUUUUGAACCCCAUUUCUUGCCCUUGUUAUUCCAAUUUUUCUGGAACUGAGAUGAACCAGAUUGACCUUCACCCCUAUCCUGCUCUUUUGAACUCACUGAGAAAGAUGAGAAUGCUUUCCCAGUAGUAUCAACAGUAUGCAGAUCAAACCGUUGUUCUUGACUUUUUAAGAUUGCAACUACUUCCUGCAACUCUACAGUCUCUAGACACUUUGUGUUUUCUAUAACCAAACAGAUAGAAUCAUAAGGUUUACUAAGACUAAUCAGAACCUUUUGCACCAGUCUCUCAUUCGACAGAGAUUCACCAAAUGUUCUCAUUUGAUUAAUUAGCUCAUUCAGCCGUGUAAGAUAGCUAGAUAAAGACUCAUCAUCUCUCAUCCUAGCAUAUUCAAACUAUCUCCUAAGAUUCUGCAAUUUCACAUAUCGUACCUGAUCACCACCGUGAUACUCCCCGUACAACAAAUCCCAUGCCAUCUUAGCUGACUCGGCAUUGGCGAUUCGUGGGAAGAUCUGAUCCGAGACUGCAUUCUGAAUGAUUCCCAAAGCCUUUGCGUCUUUCAUCAGAACAACUACCAUUUCUUCAUCAUCCUUCGAUGCUUCUCCAGCUUCCUUCUUCUUCGGAUUGGAGGUUUCAAUCCCCUUCUCUACCAAAUUCCAUAACCCAAGGGAUUUGAAUAUCGUUGCCAUUUUAAUUCUCCAGAACUCGUAGUUCUCACCGAAGAAAACUAGAGUCCUCACUUCCGAGCCUCCAGAUCCAGACAUGUUUUGAUCUGAAUCGACAACGUUCACGGAGCUUUAAGAGAGCUUCGAUUGAGCUCAAAAAUAGCUUCACAGAUUUACGCCCAGAUUUGUUAGACCCAACCUGGCUCUGAUACCAUGUUAGUGUAACUUGAUUUCAAUGAGAGUUUUGAUGAAGAUGGAGCUGUACAGAAAACACACGAUGAACAAAGGUUGGAGAAAGCGAACGGUUUCUUGUUCUUCUCUCUGCAGAAACUUUACAGAGGAAUAUUGCUACUCAUUUUAGAAAUGAGCACUCACAUGCU